rnacentral:lncRNA from 1 species
CGGGAACACAAGCUUGCAGAGGUACAUCAUCAACAAUAGGAAUUCAAUUGGUAGCAAUGGGUAGGCCCAAGUGGCGUCGGCCGACCCCGCCUUGGAGCCCUGGACCCACCAAUCAGCAUCCACUCAACAACUACCUACCUCCUGGUUUGCGACUCCUACUCCCCCUCUAUUCUUUCAUUUUUAUUACUUCUGUCUCUUGUUUGCUUUAUUAGAUAAAAUAAAACAAAAAUAAAAACAAGAAGACUUGGAUCUAUGAUUUAUGACAUUAAAAGUGUGACAUGAUUCAUGACAUUGAAAGGGUAAAAGUGUCACAAAGUCUAAUUCUUGCAUAUGCAUAUACUUGUGGGUCACACAACUUGAUAGGAAUAUCAGAUUGACUUGGUUGUUGACAAAUUGUGAUAUAGUUCUUAGCUCAAGAUUCAUACCCUUUCUAUUCAAAGUGCUUAGAGAUUUAUUUUUGAAAAUAUCAUAAAACCAUAGUGUCACUUACUCCUCAAUAGUAAGAGAAUUCCUACCACAGCCAUAUAUGUUCAAAACCCUUCUAUACAUGCUACUUAUACUUGUGUUGAGUUUAGUCAAACCUUGUGACCCUAGUUAAGAAUUAUGCCAUAGCCCCAAGAUCAAGGUCACACACACACCACAUAUAUAUGCUGCUUCUACAUUGGAAGUAUGCAAAAACAUGCCAUCUAUUUCCACCAUAUAGAUGCUCCAUGUUUUAAGGUUUAGAAUAUCUCUCUCUAAGUAUUGGUUAUGAGAUGAGACACAAAGGCUAUGCUUAGUAAAAAAAAGUGGGCACAUGAAGGUCCAUUGCUUUUGAAAAAAGAGAAAAAAAUAAAAAAACUAGCCAUGCCACAAAUAAAAUAGAGAGAGAGAUCUUAUCAAAUAUAGGAGCAUUCUAUUCUAAUCAUUUUUCACACACUUACACAUCUUGAUCUAGGAUUAUAACACUUACACAAUGCAAGUAUGCUAUCUUGUUUCACCCUACCUGAGCCCCAUAAGCCUCAUAGAUGUAGGAUGAAACAAAAGAAGGCAAUCUUAUGCUAUGCCUUGGUGAGAAAUCCUAUACUUACUGAGUGACUUGAGAGUACUAUUGGAGGAGUAAGGAUGAACUAUGUGCUUUCUUUUAAAAUAUUUAUCAAAAACUCUAAGUACAAAGAAUAUGAAAAUGGGAAGAUGACUUUGCUUUGAGAACUGUUCCAUUCUUCAACAUCCUAAGGAUAUAUGUUAGACAGUGUCACAUAACCCACUUGUAUAAGAUAUGUCUUGAGUAGUCUUUGUGUUUUCUUAUAUCUUAAAAGUGUCAUAAUCAUAGGUUAUCUUUCUCUAACCUUUGCUCGAGGAUGAUCAAAGACUUAAGUGUGGGGGUUCUUGUUGAUGGGAAAUAAGACUGAGUUCUAUAUACUCAAAAGCCCAUCAACAGUCCUUGAUUGAAGGAAGAUAAGCAUCACAUGAACAUAUUUAUCACUAAUAAAUUUCCACUUGUAGUCUUAGCUUGUUCAAUGCAGGGAAGAAGGAAAUGAGCCCUAUGGGCCCCAUAACCUCAGUCGGCCGACCAUGGUUUGGGCCGACCAGGGGCUCCCUCCAUGGCAUACUUCAAGGAGAAAAUCCCAACCCUUGGAUCCAAGUGUGCUUGCCCUCAACGUUUCAAACACUUAGCACAUGGAUCCUUGGGCUUGUUGGGCAUUCUUACCGUCACUACCAAAAGUAGACUUAGUUUUAACGGCGCCAAAAAUGCCAAACCUAUCCCUCAUGCCACUUAAGCCAAGUUGUCAUCCCCAGCAUGACAUGAGAGACUCGGUAUUGAAAUAUGCAAUUGCUCUUCAGAAUAAAUAAUAAAUAAGAUCUACAAGCGCACAGAUUAAUACCGAUGUAGCAUUUUAACUGGGAAGUUUUCCAAGUAUCGUUAUUUAUAUUUUUACCACUGGGAAGGGAUUGCUAAACAUCGAUAUUGAUUAUAGAAUGGAAUAUAGAAUUGAGUAUCUAUCAUUGCAUGUAUAAUUGAGAGCAUUUAUCUAUCUCUUUCAUACAGGGAUAAAUGUCACAUAAAAGAUAGAUAAAGUAUGAAUUGUGAUAGAGAUAAUUAAUCUGAUCAGCAUAACUUAGCCAAUAUAAAUAUGAUAAGCACCUCAAUAGAUAUUCUAGCAAGUCAUUAACAUGGAAUUAGGACGAACUACAAGAAUAUUUCCUAAGUUAUUCUUAACUAUAAAGUCUAGCAUAUCAUAGUUAGAGCAAUUAUACUUGGCAAUCAUUGCGAGAUAGGACUACGCCCAUGCAUAGUGAUAUUAUCAAGGAAUAUGAGAAACAUAGCAAUCACUCCGCUGUAAUAAUGUUGCUUUGCCAGCCCUAUACACGAGAGGGGGACUAUAUAAGAAUCAAUGGAGCUGUCACUACCACGAACUACCCCGCGAUCUGGCAUAUAGGGUAUAAUCGCAGAUAAAUACGAUAUAGGCACCACGCCUACACAAUACUUAUCAUUUACCCACUAUACACAUGGAUAAAUGCUAUAUGAUCCUAAACAUGUAUAUAAUUCCAAUCUAACUAAGCCAAGCAUAUAACUAUGAUAAACUAAGAACAAUAUAAUUGCAAAUAUAAACAAGUAGGGCAAAGUCAUAAUCAAUAUAUUGAAGUAGAACAAAGUCAUAUUCAUAAUAUUGAAGAACAAAGAUGAACAAUUGAAGAACAGUAGAGGAAUUACCAAGAAUCCUCUGACAGAUCCGGAAACCAAUCGAAGAUUGACUCCUUCUAGUUCUAAUCCUAUGUAGCUAUGCUAAGCUAGAGAUCUAAUUGAUGUGGUGGCUCUAGGGCUUGAUCAGAGGCUUCUUCUCCCGAGAUGGAUAAUGAAUUAGGGUUCUGAGGUCCUCUCCUCCAGGGGCCAGGGGGUAUGCUUAUAUAGUCCUUCCAAAUGAAUGUGGGCCGUCAGAUCAAACCGACAUUAAUCGCACGGUUUUCCUUGAUCCUUUAGGUCGGUGGUGCAUGAUCCACGAAGUUGAUUGUGAUUGGCCCUCAGGCCAGGGCGGGCGCCCAAGGGGGGAGGGCGGGCGCUCUGCCCCCGGGCCCGUUCGGUCUCCCGUUCGUUCCCGUGGCUUCUGGACUCUUCUAGAUGUUAGAUAAUUGCGCAGUACGUUAUUAUCUCUAUGUAAACCCGACGUGUGGGCCUUUCUUCCAUAAUUCCUGAUAACCCCCCUGCAGAAAUAGAUAAACACCAAAACUCGUGGAAUUCUGUCAGAUAAAACCCUAAGUCUGGGUGUCGGUUGCAUUUGGAUCCUUUUCUUUGUUUAUUUGCUGAUUAUAUUUGAUACUUAAGGACCGUCAACAAACUCCCCCAAGCUUACCUCUUGCUUGUCCCUGAGCAAGGAUAAUCUUAGUGAUGGAUCAGAAGUUGUUGGAAUGCCUUUAAAAAUUGACGGUACAUAUGCUUUCAAAUGAGGUCUCAUCUCUGAGUUAGAGUAAACUGUCAAGACUUAAAACUUACUCAUUUUACCUUUUACCAUGGGACUUAUCACUACAGGAAAUGUGUGGCUUUUUAACGUUUUUAAUAUGACAAUGAUCAUAAUGUCACUAUAUCAUCCAUUUUGUGACAUUAUAUUUUAGGCAUUGUGACUUAGUGACAAUAAAAAGUUGUAUGUCAUAAUAAAUGUCAUUUAACAAGUCAAAUUUCAUCUAGUGACAAUAUUUUAUGUGUCACAAGGCUUGUUUGUGUGUCAUAAAAUAUUUUAUUAAUUUUUUAAAAUAAACUAUGCAUGUUGAAAAUAAACUAAUGUUGAAAAUAAAUUUUGAGUUGUUUAAACAAAGUCAGAUGGAGAAUUUGCCAAAACAAAAGUUGUAGAUAUCGAUGAGUUCUACAACUUUGCUUUUGAUGUCUUUUUAAUUUGAAUCCAUCUAAUAUUCCAAAAUUUGAUUCAAAAUUCUCAUAAAUAAAUUUAAAAUUUAAAAUCUUUUGGUCAGAUUGUGGGUGUUCAGACUCUCAACCUGGUAUUGGGCUUCGAUUUUGCUUUUGGGCCACUGAAACCCGGAGGCCUAUUAAGGUUGUGCACAAUCUGAGCCUUUGAUCUGAAUCGAACGGUCGGAGUUCGUCCCAUCUUGGAACAAAACCAGCUCAAGCCGUCGACCUCCCAAAACCCUAACUUAACUUGCUCUCGUCCCUUCCCCUCCCUUCACUUCCAGCCGUUGGACUCCAACCCCUGCGCAGACGAGAACUACUGGAGGUACGCCGAUGCGCGGCAGCAGCAGCAGGAGAUGGUAGCCGCCGCCGCGGCUGCAGCGGGGAUGGCCCCCGUGGCGACCGUCGCCGCGGCCCAAAUGGUCGGUAGCACCGCCGCUGCCAUGAACCAGCAGGCCGCCGCCGCCACCAUGGCACAGUAGGCCGCCGCCGCCGCCGCUCAAGCGCGCGCGCCCCGACUUCGGUGGUUCGUGCUCUCCCCCUCGCUCUUUUUCACUGGACGACCACCAGAUCUUGCUUUUUUGUUUUCUUGGUGGCUAUAUCUUCCCCUCCAAUCUCCUCGUCGCCCGUGCUUUGUGGAAUUUAGGUGUAUCUGGCUGGUUGUUAGGUUCGUAAUUUUAGAUCCAGGGUUUACUAGAUCUGCAGAACUGUUGUGAUUAGAUGAUUCACCAUGCAUCCGGGCUGUCUGCCAUAGUUUCGGUCUGUAAUAAAAUUUGACAAGCUAGGUUCGUUGCAUUAUAUUGAGAAUUGUGUCCUGGUUGACUAUUCUUGAGCUGAACUUGUUGGUAUUGUUGAUUUGGGGAGGAAAUUAUGUAAUAAUAUUGCUUAGAUAUCUGCCGAUUUGGUUUAUGGGAAUGCAGUGUGGGCAAAGUGCCUUGCUCCGCUAGGAAGUUCUUCCAAAAUUAUGGUUCAUGGAAAUCCAGUGUUCCAAAUGAUGGAACUGAGGUGGACACAUGAAGUUUUGUUGUAUGUGUAUGUCUUGCAUACUAUAAUCUAGAGGCUCCCGAUUUAUGCAGCUAGAGAACAAACUUCUCAUGUUAGGAUAAUCAACUAAUGAUAUGUGCAAGGAAUCAAAGAGGCAGACAAUCGGCGUUGAUGAUGCCCUCAGGUACUUGAUGAGAUGGAGUUUUUAGAGUUUGUAGAGCCCCUUAGGACUUGGUUGCAAGGUCAAUCUUGUUGUCUUCAUCCUGUUAGCACUUUGUUAGAUCCUCCAUGGUGUUACCGAUAUAAACCUAUAGAUUCAUAAAUUGAUUUCUUAGUCUGAGAUUUUUUCUGUUAUAUAGAUGGACAUAUUUUUUUAGUAAUAGUACUAUCCUUGUACUGAAUGAUAUGACCUCAAGUGGAUAUACAUGCUUAACUUUUUUUUCCGAAUUGUGCAAUUUUGUAUAUAUAUUCAGUUAUUACAUUUCAAAAGUAUUUCCAUUCAUUAUAUGGUUCUGAAAACUUUAGCGCUCUUUGAUGCAGAACAACUCGAAUAGAUUAUAUGGUUUCUGAAAACUUCAGCGCUCUUCGGUCUUGCACUUUGCAUGUAUUCCUGGAUCUGUCGGUCAGAUGUAGUGUAUUGAUUGGUUCAGUUUGGUGGUCAGGGAAUAUAUUCUGUAACAAAAUCCUUGACUUUCUGAUGAAUUUAUUAUAUUGAUUAAUGUGAUAGCUGGAGGUGAGGAUUGGGUGUAAUCUUUGAUUUCCUUUUCCAUUUUUGCAGAUGUGUGUGGUGGACAAGACAUAACAGGAUAUUAUCCACGUGAAACUGACAGGGCAGGAUACCAUUCCCUCCAAUUCAUGUCUUCCAAUGAUGAUAUUUUGCUGACACUGAACUUGUGGCCUACUGUGCUUUUGGCUAUUGACCUAUUGUGCUUCUGCCACGCAUGUGCUGGAAAAUUUGAGACUUGAGACCCUACAUGUUUAAUGAAUUGGUGGAUUGAUGUAAUGAUAUUGUAUUUAUUGUGGAGAUUUUAAUUCAUUUGGAUCUAAUGUUGAAAAAUUAUAUGAAUGCAAUUAUAUGUGAUGAAAUAUUAUAUAUGGGCUGAAUUCUGUGUGCUGGAAAAAAUGGGCUGAAUUUUGUGAGCUUGGGAAAAAAAUAUGGGCUGAAAUAUGUGGGAUAAAAUAUGAGAUGCAUUAUCAGAGUAAAAAAAUAUUAUAUGAGCUGAAUUGUUGUGGGCUUGAAAUCUAUAUGGGCCGUAAUUAAAAAUAAUGGACCACUAUAAAUAGAUUUCAGGCCCAUGAGCUAUGUGGGCUUUAGUAGGCCAAAACUAAUUUUGUGACAUUUUUUCUCCCUGCCAUGUCAGCUGCCACGUGGCAAGGCCUACGAUUUUGUGACAACAAACCAAUGUCAUAUGCUUGUGACAUGAACCAAACAAAUGUCACAUAAUAAUUUUAUGACGCGGGCUUUUCCACGUUUUGAUUUUUGUCAACUUGAUGUCACAAAUUUUAAUUUGUAACAUAAAUUUCAUAUAUUGUGACAUAACUAAACGUUAAAAAGCCAUGAGUUUCUUGUAGUGUAUAACUGUCACUUCUGUCUUGAGUAGUUAAAAGAUAGAACAGUCUAGUCAAGUGUCAUGUCUCUUAUUCUUGAUCAGCUAUAGCUCUGGAGUUUUUGCAGAUUUUCAAAUAGAACUCAGAGAUUCCUUGUAUGACUCUCUCAUAUCUCUCUUUUGUGGUAUUUCUAGAUCCUUACCAAGGAAGUGAUGGUAUAUGCCUUCUCUCAAUAUGUAGUAUUUGUGGACAUUGCCUUCUCUCUCAUCCUACUCUAAUAAGGCUUUAAUAUCUGGAGCUCAUAGAUGGGAGAUAAAGUAUACAAACUUACAAGACAUUUAUUGCAUAGUCAAACCAUGGAUCCAGAGAAACAAGUCAAUAAGUCAAAUCAAGAUGUGCAUGUGUGGUGAAUGAAUGGUGUAUGGUGAUGAUGGUGAUAACAAUGGUGAAAGUCUAAUUCUUCUUGUGCUCUUUUGAGGGAAUACAUACCUUUCUUGCUCUUUUGAAACUUUUUGAGGAGAAUGAGAUGCUCUACUUUUUCUUUUUCUUUCCUCUCAGGUAGGUAUUCUGUACCACUAAUUCUACUGUCGGACACUUUUCCAUUUUUACCUCUCGUCUCACUUUUUCUUUUCUUUCGAGGUUCCGGGCACUUGCCCCUUUUUAUUUCCUCGUAUGUCUCUUUUUUUUAGAUCACUCAUCUCCUGAAAUAAUAUAGCAAGUGGUAGUAACCAAGAUAACUCGAGCAUUUAUUUCAUAGGGGGAAACAAAAAUAGGAGAAUAUUUUGGCUAUUCUCUCCUGGAUUAGGAGUAGAAUAUUUUUGAGUGGCUCUGGAGAUGGAAAUGAGUGGAUAUAUGUGGAUACGUACUUCCGGAGUAGAAGCAACAUGUGUGAGUGAACGUGCAAGUGAAUCUUGAUUUAACCACAUGACAAGCUCCUAAAGGUCUACACAGCUUGACCACACUCAAUGCUCAUAAGCUGUAAAAAGUAAAUGUGUGGCUCAAAGUCUAGCAAGCAUGUAUAUAUGGCUGUGGUAGGAAUUUAAACUCUCAUCAUAAAGGAACUCAUCAUGUGAUAUUUAAAAGAUUUUUAAAGAUAAAAUUCUCCAUAUUUCUGGCAUCUGUAGGAACCGAUAAACAGCAGCUCAACCUUCUCAUAUCAUAUCCGUUAACAACUUAGACUUCAGAUCAAGUUCUCUUCCCACAAGUUCAGGUUUAGAGCAACCUUUAAAUUAUAACAGUUAUGUCUAAACUAGAGAGAGAACUUCAAAUUUGAAAAUUAGGCAGAGCAACUAUUCAUCAUAUCCAUGCUAGAGUUUUUAUUAUUAAGAUUUCAGUUUAGCAUAGCCACUUUAUUUAUUUAUUAAGCAUACUAAGCAAAAGAUAUAUUUAUGUAUAUAAGCACAAAAUUUUUAUUUAGCUUUUCAUGGUUAUGUAUAUUUUUAUUUUAAUAUAGUAUAAGUAUAUAGAUAGACAGAAAUACUUAGCGGGAUAAAUGGUGGUGCUCUCCCCCAAGCUGGAUUUUGACGUAAUUUCUUCUGAUGUAGCUAGCAGGUGGUAGAGGUGUAUUUGAAAGUCGGCAGUACCCUGACAGCGAUUAGAAUGUCCUGCGUCUGCUAGUCUUCUUGAUCAUUGAAUUCUGUGGAGCUCAAAUAGACAACAAAGCUUUGUGGAACUGAUUAGGUGUUAGCAUAAAUAUCUAGCCUUUAUCAUGUUGAGCCUCCUCAAUAAGUGUUACUCUCUAUUUUUUUAUAUUUUCAUUUUAUAGAGCAGAAAAAAUUAUUUAUUUUAUUUUUAUGCCACCACAGUGAAUGUACUUAUGGGUUUUAUGCCACUCGUAUACUCACAUGGGGCUUACUAUUUUUAACAUUUUUAUUUUCUUUUUAGGAUAGUAUGAACAUGAUUAACUAAGCAAACUAUUUUAAAUAAUUGAAAGGAAAAAGAUAACUACCAAGUUUACCUCUUGGCAAGGCGUUCGGUGUUUUAAAGUCCUCCGAACGGGACUCUCUGUUUUCUCAGUUGUCCUGGGAUUCGUUGGAUGGCGUAGUCGGUGGUUCCGGCGGCGCCUCUUCUUCGUGUAUAGUUAUCUUCUCUCUCCACACCUGACUCGGUGCUACGGUCUCCACUGGAUAAUUCUGUUCAAGCUGUACGUCUUCAGAUCUUACAAUUUCUCCUUCGUAGUCUACCCAUCCGUCCUUGAUGAUUUGCCUCCUCUAGUUGCGGUUGCGUCGUCUUCUUCUUGUCCUGACCUGCUUAGAGUCUUCAACUAUAUAGUUAGGGUCAGUGAAAUAGCGGCGUACCUUCUAUGAGGGGAAGUGCAUAUGGACUUCUCCGGUUCCAAUAUAGAUGAUUGCUUUAAUAGUGCUGAGGAACGGUCUCCCAAGGAUGAUGGGUGGAUCGUACCCGUCUUCUCCCAUGUCAAUAACCUGAAAGUCUGUAUGGACAAAAUGAUCGUCUAUUUUGACAGGGACAUCGGUUACUAUACCUUCAACCUUUUGGAAUGUCUGAUCUACCAUCUGGAGCUGAAUGUAUGUUGGUUUUAAGAGCAUGGUUCCGAACAGAAGCUGAUAGGUGACUGCGGCCAUUAUGUUGACGCCCGAUCCGGUGUCGCAAAGUGUCUUGUAUAAGUUGUAUCCAUUGAUGGAGCAGUGGAUGCUUGGCAUACCUGGGUCGUCCUUCUUGGUCAGAAACGGUGACUUGAGUCGAUUAUGUUGACCUUCCUGAACUGCAGUGACCAUCUUAACUGACUCGGUUCACACUUGCUUGUUCCUGUUCCUCCUAUUGGUCCUCUUCCAUGGUUCAUGUCGAGAUUGCUCUGGGAUUUGUGUAGUCUUGUUCUUGAAGGAAAACGUCUCCUUCCUCCCUUUGAUGUAGAAACUAAUCUUGGUAGCACUAGCGUAGAUGACAGCUCCCGAGGUGUUCAGGAAUGGCCUCCCUAAGAUGACGGGUGCCCUCCCAUCAUUACCGGUCUCUAUCACCACGAAGUCUGCUGGGGCGUACAACGUACCAACUCGGACACAGAGGUUCUUCAAUAUUCCCUUUGGGAAACUUAACGUCUGAUCUGAAAACUGCAAACACAUGGUUGUUUCUAAUAAAGGAUAUGUAAAGAAUUUUUCAUAGAGUACCCUGGGCAUAAUGUUGACACUAGAGCCAAAGUCGCAAAGCGCUUUUAGGAAGUCCACCAUACCGAUGGAGAUCGGGAUGAGGGGGCGUCCUGGAUCGCCUCUCUUGACCUGCAGAAGGUCAGUAGUAACUUCCGUAAUGGGGUUACUCUAGUGGUUACCUGCAUCAAACUUGUCUACAAGAUUUGCAGAUUCUAAUCCUUCCGGUUGUGAUGGUAUACCGGGGUUAGUAAUAGGAACAGCAUCAGCUAUUUGAUUUAACUGAGAUUCAAUCAUUUUAUUAAAGCUAAUUUGAUUCUUGAUGGCAGUAGAGAAAUUAUCCAUUCUAUUAUUUAUAUUUUCUAGCAUUUUAUCAUUAGAUGCCAAUUUCUUAGAUAGGUUAUCCAUUAGCUUCCCUUGAUUAGACACUAACUCUCUCAGAGGUGGAAAAUUAUUAUUGUUGUAAGAAUUGUUACCUUGAUAAUUACUUGAGUAGUUAGGCCUCUGUUGAUUCCAACCUUGAUUUUGUUGAGGACGGUUGUAGUAGUUGUUGUUGUUGCUAUUGUUGAUGUAGUUCACAUCCUCAAGCAUCUCAGGGCAGUGAUUGCCUGAGUGUCCAAUAUCUCCACACUCCUCACAAGUCAUGUGAGAGUCGUAGAUGUUCAUGACUUCUUUCUUAUCUCCAGCUCUAUCAUCGAGCUUCUUCAUGAGCAGGUCUACCUUAGCAGACAGCAUGUCUACCUCCUUGAGCUGGUGCAUACCUCCACCUCUCUUGCGUGUCUGGGUCAUUUCUUCAUUCCAGCCUUGGUUGGACGCCAUCUUGUCCACAAGAGGUGUGGCUUGUGGUAUGGUGAGUGAUAGGAAUGCUCCUCCAGUUGCAGCAUCCAUGGUCUCUCGGGCACUAUUGCCGAGCCCAUAAUAAAACGUCUGCAUCAGUAGUCAACUCUCCAUUCCAUGAUGGGGACAUUCUAGGAUGUAGUCUUGGAAGCGCUCCCAUGCUUCUGGAACAGAUUCAUCAUAUUGUUCCUGUAAACUUGUAAUUUUCCCACGGAGAGCAUUGGUCUUGCCCAUGGGAAAGAACUUAGCCAGAAAGUUCAUGGAGCAGAGUGCCCACAUAGUAUUCUUCUUCUUUGUAGCGUAGAACCACUGCUUUGCUCUCCCUAACAGUGAGAAUGGGAAGAGGCAAAGUAGUAUAGCAUCUCUGGGGAUUCCUGAUAUGGUGAAUGUGCUGCAAAUCUACAGGAAGUGUUGGAGAUGAGCACUAGCAUCUUCGUGUGCCUUCCCACAGAACUGGUUGGAUUGCACCAUGUUGAUAAUUCCAGGCUUGAGCUCAAAGUUGCCGUCGAUCUCUGUAGCAGGUCCAGUACGGAUGUUGUCCGUAGUGGGAGCUGAGAACUCACGGAUCGAUUUGUUCGCCAUGGCUUCGAACUCUGAAGACAAGUUCCGGGUGAAACUUCGGUGAUCUUCUUGAUUGGAUGAAGCUUCGUGCUGAAGUGUUGAUGAUCUCUUCUUGAGCUUGGCUCUUGUUUUUCUAAAUAAUGCGUCGGGAUUGUCAAUAAAAUUUCCUGGAAGAUGUCUUCUAUUCAUACAUUACCCUACAUAAGAUAAAAAUAGAAAAAUAACGGGGUAAAACUGUAUGAGAGAAUUAAUAAUCUCAAUCAUAUUAGUGAUGCGAAUGAUGACUUGAAAUUCCAUAUUCAUUCCUGAUUAGUAAUCAAUCUUCCCCAGCAACAGCGCCAAAAAUGCUUGUUGGGCAUUCUUACCAUCACUACCAAAAGUAGACUUAGUUUUCUAAUUCUGAUAACGACGCAAAAAAUGCCAAACCUAUCCCUCAUGCCACUUAAGCCAAGUUGUCAUCCCCAGCAUGACAUGAGAGACGCGGUAUUGAAAUAUGCAAUUGCUCUUUAGAAUAAAUAAUAAAUAAGAUCUGCAAGCGCAA